rfam:Oryza sativa Japonica Group DNA, chromosome 11, cultivar: Nipponbare, complete sequence.
GGAUGCGAUCAUACCAGCACUAAAGCACCGGAUCCCAUCAGAACUCCGAAGUUAAGCGUGCUUGGGUGAGAGUAGGACUAGGAUGGGUGACCUCCUGGGAAGUCCUCGUGUUGCAUCCC